GCGCCUGUAGCUCAGUGGAUAGAGCGUCUGUUUCCUAAGCUGAAGGUUGCAACUUCGACCCCUACCUGGCGCG
rfam:Nicotiana sylvestris Nsyl_contig108351, whole genome shotgun sequence.